rnacentral:pre_miRNA from 1 species
CGCUGGCUGAAAUCGGACCAAGUCAUCAGUUCACUCAUUUGGUCCCCUUCAACCAGUUAC